GAAAGACUAUUUUUUUUAGGUCAAGAAGUAAACAGUGAAAUAUCAAAUCAACUUGUUGGUCUAAUGGUAUAUCUAAGUUUAGAGGACAAGAACAAAGAUUUGUAUUUGUUUAUAAAUUCUCCGGGCGGAGAGGUAAUAUCUGGAAUGACAAUUUUUGAUAAUAUUCAAUUUGUAGAAGCAGAAGUACAGACAGUAUGCGUAGGAUUAGCCGCUUCAAUGAGAUCGCUUCUUUUGGUAGGAGGAGAAAUUACCAAACGUCUAGCAUUCCCUCAUGCCAAGAUAAUGAUCCAUCAACCUGCUAGUUCUUUUUAUGAGGGACAAACAGUAGAAUUAAUGUAUGCUGGAAGCGAAUGAAUUACUAAAAAUGUGCACAACUAUGACAAAUAUUUAUGCACAAAGAACAGACAAACCUUCAUGGCAGAUAUCCAAAAACAUGGAAAGGGAUCUUUAUAUGUCAACAGAAGAAGCUCAAGCCUACAGAAUUGUUGAUAUGGUAGCGGAUUCUUUGUGAAUAAAAAAAGAGCAGAAAGGAUUCCUGAUAACUACAAGAUUUGAGAUUAAAUUUUCUCUUUUUAAUCGUCUUCCUAACCUGAAUUUAAUCGUCUUCCUAACCUGCUUGCUUCCUAACCUGAUUUAAUCGUCUUCCAGAUCCUAACCGGAUUUAAUCGUCUUACUAACCUGAUUUAAUCGUCUUACUAACCCGAUUUAAUCGAAUCUAAAUAAUUCAUAAUCAUCGGGUUAGGAUUGAUCUAAACCGGCUAAUUAUGUAUAUGACUCACCAUGCCAACUAUAAAACAACUUAUUAGAAACGCAAGACAGCCAAUCCGAAAUGUCACCAAAUCUCCCGCUCUUCGGGGAUGCCCUCAGCGCCGAGGAACAUGUACUAGGGUGUAUGUGCGACUCGUUUAGAUCAUAGACUAAAAUAUAAAAAUAUAUUCUAUUAAUUAUAUAUAAUUCUAUUGUGUAAAAAAUUUAUGGUUUCGAUUAGUGCAAACCGAAUCACCUUAAUUUGCAAUUUAAGAUGAAAAAAAUUUCCCAUUGGUAACAAAUAGUUAUCCAUUAAGCGGGAAAAAUCCUAUUUCAAAUAAAGAAAAAUUUUGCCCUACCGAAAUUUUGAACGGACUAAGAGGGUCAACUACCCAGCUAAUCUUCAUACUUAAAUACCGUUACUGUAUAGCUAGAUUUCGUUGUGAAAGACCUAUUACUAGAUAUUUUAUGGGUAGAGCCCAUAAGUGUGAACUGUACAAAUUCACAAUAACAUUGAUGAAAUGAAGAUUCAAUGAAGGAAAUGGCUCCGGUGUAUAGAGAGGACCUCACCGUUUAAAAAGUAAUCAUAGAAACGAUGGAACCCACCAUUUUUUUGUCUAUUUCUAUUUAAUUGACUAUGUUUUUUUGAAUACCUAGUAUCAAUAUCAUUUAUUAUUUAUAGGUUAAAUACUUAGAAAAAAAUAAAAAAAUCGUGGUUGGGAAGGUUAUAGUAGCAAAAGCCAUUGGAAUUUUUCUUUUAUACAUUGGAAGAAUCCAUUUUGUUAUUAAUAGACUAGGAAGGAUAAAAGAAUAACUGAAAGAAAAAAAUGAAAUAGUUAUUCAUCAAAGUCUCAUUUAUUCAAUGACCAGAAUUAAACGAGGAUCUAUCGCUCAAAAACGGAGGACCAAAAUUCGUUUAUUUACAUCAAGCUUUCGCGGAGCUCAUUCAAAACUAACUCGAACUAUUGCGCAACAGAAAAUAAAAGCUUUGGUUUCGUCUGAUCGAGAUAGAGAUAGGAAAAAAAGAGAUUUUCGCGCUUUGUGGAUCAGUCGAAUAAAUGCAAUAAUUGGCCAGAAAAAUAAAAACGUAUACUAUAUUUAUAGUAAUUUAAUGUAUAAUCUGUACAAGAAGCAAUUGCUUCUUAAUCGUAAAAUAGUUGCACAAAUAGCUAUAUUAAAAGGGAAUUGUUUUUUUAUGAUUGCCAAUGAUAUCAUAAAAAAAUAAAAAUUCCCCGGAGACUGAACUCCGGGAAGGUCGUAGAAUAGAAGAGAUUUGUAUGAUAAAAUAGAAUUCAUAUGACAAAGUUAUCAAAAUAAAUAAACCACCACGCUGAAUAAAAAAAAUAAUUCUUCUUCAUCUAUUAGCUUUUUUUUUACAACGUAACAACUCCAAUUGGAUUGUCAUAUUUUUUCGAAAAAAAAAAAUAUUAAUCCGCAUUUCAUUUGAAUUUAGAUUCAAAAUAGAAUUCAAUAGAAUAAUAAAGUAACUCUAUUUUUUUUUUUUACGAACUGCGGUAGUUCUAGUGAUCGACUCCCUUUUUUCAUAUUUUUUUUUUCCAUUAUUAACAAAAGGUAAUGAAUUAGCGAAAGGUAACAAAGAUAAAAUACGAGCUUGUUUUAUAGCAAUCGUAAUUAAUCGUUGUUGUUUUAAGCUCAAUCUAUUUACGCGUCUAGAUAAUAUUUUUCCUUGUUGACUAAUAAAUCGAUAAAGUAAACUCAUGUUUUUAUAAUCAAUUCGAUCCCCCGAUUGGAUCGGAGACAAACUCCUACGAAAAGAUUGUUUGGAUUUAAGAAAGAGUCGCUUAGAUUUAUCCAUGGUUUGUUUAUUCCUAUACCGAAAACCCCAUUUCUUAUAAAAAAGGAUUUGUUUUAUUUAUAUUCUUAUUUUUUUUUUGUAAUAUAUAUUUGUUAUAUAAUGAAAUAUAUGCUAUAUAAUGGUAUAUGUAUAUAAUUUCAUGUUAUAUAAUAUUAUAUAUAUAAUAUUAUUUAUAUGUUAUCUAUAGAAUUUAUAUAUAUUUAAAUUAUAGAAUAUAUCUUCUAUCUGAAAUAUUAUUUAUCAUCUACCGUCUAAGCGUAACCCACAAUCCAUCCAUUUUGUUUAUUUCUUUAUCUCUGCAUGAAUCGUAUGUUUGCAACAAAAGGGACAGAAUUUUCUCAAUUCCAAUCGACUAGGCGUAUUGUGUCGAUUCUUUUGAGUAAUAUAUCUAGAAAUACCCCUCGAUUCCUUAUUAACACUCUUUUUAUCACAACUGGUACAUUCCAAAAUAACAGUUAUUCGGAUAUCUUUACCCUUGGCCAUGAACCUCCUUUGGUUUUUUUUGAUUCACUUAACUCUUCGAUUUUACGAUUGAAAGCGAAGAAUCAAAAAGGAACAGAAAAAAGUAUAAGUUGAUAAUUCAAAAUCAAAUUAUGAAAGAUUUUGUUCCGAUUAAUUUUAUAUAGUACAGUAAUAAGUGAGUAAUACAAUGAUUUCGAACUAUAUUUCGAAUCACAAUACAGUACUUCAUGUAUCUUGUAUGAUAUUAUUGCCCCUGCCCUAGCAUUACAAUUCCAUUUCUGGGCUCACUCUAUUAUUAAUAGCAAUGGAAUUGAAGUAUUAAUUCAAUUCCAUUGAAAACUGGGCAAAAUUUCGAGUUUCACCGAGGCCAAAUCGACCUUUAUUCUUUCCUCUUUUUUUUCGAUCUCUAACCUUCGUUACCCCCUCCCGUGCCCAUAAUUAGAAUGAAAAAAAGGGGAAUGUCAAUGCAUCCGGGAAUAAACGAUUGAUUUCUAUCAAGAGACCCGCUAGAGCCACGAACCAUAGAGUACUUGCCACUGGUGCCACAGAGAGAUAUGUUUUUAGAUCUCGCAUUUCAAAUCCUCCUUCGUUUUUUUGUUGUAAUUUUUAAUACCUAAUUACAUAUAGGAAUAUGAAUAAAUUUUAAAUAUUAAUUAAUAUUAAUAACCACUUGCUUUUGUCGGGGGAAAUUCGAAUUCAAUUUGAAUUAUACAACGAUUAAUUAGAUAUUUUUUUUUAUUUUUAUAGAAUAUGCUUUUUCUAUUUUCUUUAUUUAAAUUAUAUUAUAAUUUUAUUAUAAUAACUAUAUUACUAUAUUUUGAAUUUUUUGAAAUUCAAAAUUUGAUUUUUCAUUUUUGAUAUUUGAAUUCUAUUUCAUAUUAAUUAAUAUAUAUUUUUAUUUAUAUUCUUUAUUCUUAUACUCUUUAUAUUAUUAUUAUUUAUAUAUUCUAUCUUUUUAUUUAAUUAAAUAGAAUAGUAUCGGUCUAUAGAAAUUGAAUAUUUUUCUUUUUUCAUAUUCGAUAUUUUAUUUAUACGAUAUAAGAAAUAAAAAAAAAAACAAAAAAAUGCAAGGAUCUAUGAUAUAUAUAAUGGAAAAAUGUGGAAAAGAAGACAAAAAUUCUUUACAAUGACACUGUAAACCAAUUGAAAGAGGGAUGUAGCGCAGCUUGGUAGCGCGUUUGUUUUGGGUACAAAAUGUCACAGGUUCAAAUCCUGUCAUCCCUAUCGCUAACUAUUCUAUUAGUUAUCGUAAUAGCAGUAACAAUAGAUCCAUUGAGACCGAUUCCAAUUGGACGUACAUACUCAAUAUGAAUAGUUUUCCAUAUUGAGUAUGUAUGCAUGCAAGAUGUAUUGGAAUCACAUAAAAUUAUUUAGGAAAAUAAA